GCCUUUGUCUCUAGCUGCUGCGGGAGCUCCAGGUCUAGUCUUUACUGCUCUGUGUCUUCUGCUCCUAGAGGCCCAGCCUCUGUGGCUCCGUUACCUGCAGGUAUUGGGAGAUGCACAGCUAAGAUGCCAGGACCACCUGGAAGCCUAGAAAUGGGACCGUUGACAUUUAGGGAUGUGGCCAUAGAAUUCUCUCUGGAGGAGUGGCAAUGCCUGGACACUGCACAACGGAAUUUAUAUAGGAAAGUGAUGUUUGAGAACUACAGAAACCUGGUCUUCCUGGGUAUUGCUGUCUCUAAGCCUCACCUGAUAACCUGUUUGGAGCAAGGAAAAGAGCCGUGGAAUAGGAAGAGACAGGAGAUGGUAGCCAAACCCCCAGAAUCUCACUCUGUCGCCCAGGCUGGAGUGCAGUGGUGUGAUCUCGACUCACUGCAACCUCUGCCUCCCGAAUUCAAGCAAUUGUCUUGCCUCAGCCUCCCGAGUAGCUGGGAUUACAGUUAUAUAUUCUCAUUUCACUGAAGACCUUUGGCCAGAGCACAGCAUAAAAGAUUCUUUUCAAAAAGUGAUACUGAGAGGAUACGGAAAAUGUGGACAUGAGAAUUUACAAUUAAGAAUAAGCUGUAAAAGUGUGGAUGAGUCUAAGGUGUUCAAAGAAGGUUAUAAUGAACUUAACCAAUGUUUGACAACUACCCAGAGCAAAAUAUUUCAAUGUGAUAAAUACGUGAAAGUGUUUCGUAAAUUUUCAAAUUCAAACAGUCAUAAGAAAAGAAAUACUGGAAAGAAGUUUUUCAAAUGUAAAGAAUGUGGCAAAUCAUUUUGCAUGCUUUCACAUCUAACACAACAUAUAAGAAUUCACAGUAGAGAGAAUUCCUACAAAUGUGAGGAAUGUGGCAAAGUUCUUAACUGGUUCUCAGAACUUAUUAAACAUAAGAGAAUUCAUAUGGGAGAGAAACCCUACAAAUGUGAGGAAUGUGGCAAAGCCUUUAACCAAUCCUCAACCCUUAUUAAACAUAAGAAAAUUCAUAUUGAAGAGAAACCCUUCAAAUGUGAAGAAUGUGGCAAAGCCUUUAGUUUAUUCUCAAUCCUUAGUAAACAUAAGAUAAUUCAUACUGGAGACAAACCUUACAAAUGUGAUGAAUGUCACAAAGCCUUUAACUGGUUUGCAACCCUUACUAACCAUAAGAGAAUUCAUACUGGAGAGAAACCCUUCAAAUGUGAAGAAUGUGGCAAAGAUUUUAACCAGUUUUCAAACCUUACUAAACAUAAGAAAAUUCAUACUGGAGAGAAACCUUACAAAUGUGAAGAAUGUGGCAAAGCUUUUAACCAGUUUGCAAACCUUACUAGACAUAAGAAAAUUCAUACUGGAGAGAAAUCCUACAAAUGUGAAGAAUGCGGCAAAGCUUUUAUACAGUCCUCAAACCUUACUGAACAUAUGAGAAUUCAUACUGGAGAGAAACCCUACAAAUGUGAAGAAUGUGGCAAAGCUUUUAAUGGGUGUUCCAGCCUUACUCGACAUAAGAGAAUUCAUACUAGAGAGAAUACCUACAAAUGUGAAGAAUGUGGCAAAGGCUUUACUUUAUUUUCAACGCUUACUAACCAUAAGGUAAUUCAUACUGGAGAGAAAUCCUACAAAUGUGAUGAAUGUGGCAAUGUUUUUAACUGGCCUGCAACUCUUGCUAAUCAUAAGAGAAUUCAUGCUAGAGAGAAACCCUACAAAUGUGAAGAAUGUGGCAAAGCUUUUAACCGGUCCUCACACCUUACUAGACAUAAGAAAAUUCAUACUGGUGAGAAACUCUACAAACCUGAAAGAUGUGACAAUAAUUUUGACAACACCUAAAACUUUCCUAAACAUUAAAGACAGCAUCCUGUUGAGAAACCCUAAAAGUAUGAAGAAUUUGACAAAGCCUUCCAAUGAUUGUUACACUUGCUUGUAGACUUGGAAGAUCCCUGCUGUCCACUCUUAGAACUGAAGCCACUUUUGCCCCUUCAUGAGGUGUUUUCUGAUACAUGCUGACGUUUUGAGGGCACUACAGCCUAAGCAAUAGGAGGAGGAGGAGGAAAAUGUGCUGGGCAACUGUACAUCCUUUCACAAUAAUCCCGUUGAAAGUCAUAGUCCAAGUCAAAAGAGCAGCUGAAUAGAGGCGAUGGAGAAGGGUGUUCUGUUACUGACCCAUACAUCGCUGCAGAUCAUUUCACACCUGCUUCUCCUCCGUUCACUUUUGGCUCUGCAGCCAGGUUAAUAUCUAAAACCUGGCCAGCAAUUGUUCUGCCCUUCUCUCUUCUACAGCAGCCAGGGCAUUUCUCUCAUUCACCUAUUGAACAAAGGCAAAGCCCUUAUGAACAGAGCAACCCACAAUUUUGCUGUACGUCGAAAAGAUUGCCUCCACAUCAGACUUCUUGACCACAAGAGUGUUGAGAUUUCCAGUGAACACAUGGGAAUUCACGGAGCGAGGAUCUCUUCUGUUGGUAACAUUGCUGGCCAUUGUGUUUGAUAAGGUUUCCACAAAGCCAAAAACAAGAGGAAGGAGAGAGAAAAGAUUCGAUUCUGAGUCUCCUACUCCCAGGUUCUACGUGGAGAAGCCAACUGCUGCUCGAGGUCGGCAACGUGGCCACAACCGCUCAGUCUUCGUCUCUUCACAAAAUCAGACCCAUUACUUCUGACCAACAUCUCCUCCACUCCCAGCCCCAGACAAUCAUCAUUCUACUCUAUGCUUCUAUGAGUUUAAACCUUUUUAUACUCUACAUAGAAAUGAUAUUAUGAAAGUUUUUUUCUGUGCCGUCUUAUUUAGCAUCAUGUCCUCCAGGUUCAUCAAUGUUGUUGCAAAUAACAAGAGUUCUUUUUUUUUUUUUCCAUAGGGCUGAGUAGCAUUCUGUUGUGUAAAUAUACCACAUUUUCUUUAUUCAUUCACCUGUUGAUGGACACUUAGGUUGCUUCCAUACCUUAGAUAUUGUGAGUAAUCCAUUUCCUUCCUUUUCUCUCAUUUGUUUUUAUAUCUUUUUUCCUUUUUUUUAUAGCCAGGAGUAUUUUAUUUUUAAAAUAUAAAUUAUGAAUGUUAAAUGCCUUUAUUUGAGCUUCAUUUGAGUCAUUAGCUGUGUUCCCAGGGGAAAUUAUUUUACAUCCUUGGUAUAAGAAUUAAAGAAAGAGGAGAGAAACACAAAGGGUGGCUUGACAGUCAACAGGGACAGGUUUAUUUUGAAUAAACCUAGAGGGGCAGCUGGCCGAGUUAGGUCAGAGCCACACUCUUUUACAGACUAAAAAUUUUUAAGGAUUCAGGGUGGGAGAGUUUAUCAGAGGCUUGGACUGCUUCUGUGUCUCUUUGUUGUGCUUAUCUGGGAGGGAGAGUUGUAUGUCUGUUCCCAUACAUCUUUCUGCAGCUGCAGGCAUAGCCUCCCAGUCUGCUUUUAGCUUCCCAAUCUUAGUGCACCCGAAGGGAAAAGAAUGUGCUUAUUAAGGCCCACUGUUUUACUGGGGCCCAUUGUAUGAGGGUGAAGAUUGGCAGUUAAGAGACUUUCCCUCCACCUCCCUCUGUGCCCGAGCUGGCUGUUUUUUUUUUGUUUGUUUUUUUGUUUUGUUUUGUUUUUUUGAGAUGGAGUCUUGCUGUGUCACCCAGGCUGGAGUGCAAUGGUGUGGUCUCCACUCACUGCAACCUCCACCUCCUUGGUUCAAGCAAUUCCCCUGCCUCAGCCUCCCAAGCAGGCGCAUGCACCACACCCGGUUAAUUUUUUGUGUUUUUGGUAGAGAUAGGGUUUCACUAUGAUGGCCAGGCUGGUCUCGAACUCCUGACCUCGUGAUCCGCCCGCCUCGGCCUCCCAAAGUGUUGGGAUUACAGGCGUGAGCCACCGUGCCCACCCUGAGCUGUCUUACCUGUAUUUUACUGUCUGCUCUUUCUGGCUGCUUGUAGUUAGAAGAGAAGUGAUUUCCUUGAAAUGCAUGAGGCUAGAAAGGGAGCUAGAACUUAAAGUGGCAGUGUUUGUCUGAGUUGACGGUGCUCCUGCUCUAUCACUUGGAGCUUCAAUCUUCAUUAUUAAUAAAAAAUACUAUUUCCCCCAGGGCUGUUUUAAUUCAUACAUGGUAGCUGUAAGUAUUUUUCACUGAAAGCCUUGUCUGAAUAUAGUACAGUAAAUAUUUAAAAAUAAGAACAAAAUCAUUUAUAUUUCAAAGAUCCUUUAUUAUAGUUUAGUGGGUAUAUUUUGUCAUAUUUAAUGUAUUUAUUCUUUCCAAAAAAUGCCAAAAUAAAAAUGUUAUUAUUUUUUCUGGAAUAACAGACUAAGAGUUUCUACAUUGUGACUUUGCUAAUUUUUGCAUAUGGUGUUAACUGCUACCUUUGAAUUUAGGUUGAAUUUUAAACCCACUGUUGUUUAGUUUGUGUAAUAUUUGUUUCUUUUGGGGAAUCAAAUAUAUUAGAUAUGGACUGUUUGGGGUAACCUAAUUUCUGGGCUUAAUUUCUUCUUUCUUUCUGUUAUUAAAUCUGGAACUUUAGAAAUUAUUAGGAUUCAAAUAAGGUUGGUUUGGAAUCCAGCAACAGAAAAUCCCAGAAAAAAGUGAAGGACACAGCUACUGGAUAGUACCUUUCAGUGAGAUAUAUACAUGAAACAGAGUUCAGUGAAAUUUAUAAAAUUAUUGCAAGUUUGUUGAAUUUAGAAACUAAUUGCCUACAAUAUAUUAGGCACUUGUCUUAGUUUGUCUGUAGCAUCCUUAGCUUGAGAAAGCUGACAUUACUGAAAAGAAUAUUGCUACUGUAAUAAACUUUGGAACAAAUAUUUAUGUGACAGUAAACAUUUGCCUUCUUAAAUACAUGUCAUUCUGGCUCAGUCCUUUUGGCACAACUGUUUAUAAUUCCAGAGACUUUCACCAAUGUUCAUUUUAUGUUUAUUUUUACAUAGUAAGCUUCACAGUUGACAUCAUUAUAUUGGGAUGCCCCAGGCAAUUCCUGAGCCUUAGAGCUGACCAUCCUACCUCAUCCUUCUUACUUCACGUGCUCUGUUGUUGUGUUUCUCUCACUCCAUAUUUGAGCCUUAAUGAGAUCUCAGUUUGGAGAAAGCAGAGGAAUGGGUUGCCAUAUAUGUUGGGUUGAGAAUCAGGAUCCUCUUGAGGAUAAAGGCUUGACAUUUAUUACUCAUAGUACAAAGUAGAAUUUUUAAGAUGCAGACAUGUUUUUGUUUUUGUUUUUUUGAGGUGGAGUCUUGCUCUGUCGCCCACGCUGGAGUGCAUUGGCAUGAUCUCGGCUCACUGCAGCCUUUGCCUCCCGGGUUCCAGCGAUUCUCCUGCUUCAGUCUCCCGAGUAGACUAGCUGGGAUUACAGGCGUGCACCACCAUGCCUGGUUAAUUUUUGUAUUUUUUUUUUAGUAGAGACGGGUUUUCACCAUGUUAGCCAGGCCGUUCUUGAACUCCUGACCUCAGGUGAUCCGCCCACUUCGGCCUCCCAAAGUGCUGGGAUUACAGGCGUGAGCCACUGUGCCCUGCCAACAUGUUUUAUUCAAAUUAAAUAUAGAUGAUUUUAUCAGUAUGCCCAUAUGGUAAAAAUAACUGUAUCAAGUCCAUCAAAUGUUCUGCUUUAGACUCUCCCAAUGCAAAGAUCAAUAUAUAUGAAUUGGAUGUUAGUUUUGUUUUGUUUUUUAGUGUAGGCUAUUGUUAAGAUUUUUUUUCUACUUUAUGCUGAUGUUAAGCUACACAAAGCUUACCAAAAGAUUUAUUUUAUCAUAUUUAUUUUUUACCCAAAGUUACAACACUUAAAUAUUCAAAGUGACAUUCUGGAUUCCCAUUUUCCAGGUAAUGUAGUUUGCAUUUAUUAGUACUACCUUUCAGUUUUUCCUUAUGUGGUGCAAGAUUAUAAAAAUGCCUUCCAGCUGAUUUCUUAGGUAACAGCAGAAUCUGUUUUCUCAGACAGUAGCAUAAGAAUUCUUGAUAUACCACCUUUAGAGGUAUUGAACACACUGGAUAAAUGUGAAAUCUGGAUUUAUCUAUAAACUCAUUAGAGGCUGACUCAUGGCAACACAUGUUAUAGUUCAAUAUUUUUGUUUAAAUUGUUGAGCCACAUCCAUCUAUAUAUGUAACACUAAGAUUGUAACAGCUCCUUUAUACUAAGCCCAAAUUCAUUUUACCUGGUGAUUUUAUUUGAAAUGUAUGAGCUGUAUUAUAUAACUUUAAAAUAAGUGAUACAAAUUCAAAGAAUAUGGAAAGAAGAGUCAUACAGGCACACUGACAGUGAAUUGGAAUCUGGCAGGUGACAAUGAUUAACAGGUUGUGCGGAUUCAACUAGACCUAAAUCCCUGAAACAAUAUUAAAAGACAGAAUUUUAAAAUUAAAAACAUUGACAAUAUAAUAGGCCUAUAAUAUUUAAAAAAAUGUUUACCCAUCAUCAGUCGAUAUUAAGUUAAACUAGAAAAUUUGGAACACAUUAUACAAAAAAAAUGAAAUAACUAUCCCCAGGCUUACUCUGAUCAAAAUAAGACUUCAGCAUAUUUGAAAACACCAAAUUAUUAUGAAAAAUAUCCAUUUUAAACAGAUCUUUUAUAUAUAUUACUUCUAAAUAAAACUUAAUACUAAUAGGUUUGAUUUAUGAAAUAUUUGUUUAUCACUGUAGUUAAAAAUGGAGAUAUUAUAUAAACAUUCUGUUUAAAUAAUUUUGAUUAAAAUAUUUGGUGUUUUAAUUGAGUACCAGUAUUCAUACAGUAUGGCAAAUUCAGGCUUAUUGUAUAAAAUGGCAAAAUAGUAUUUUACUUUUUCUAAAAUGCAAAAUGGUAUUUUACACUUUUUGACUAUUUUGGCAUUUUAUAAAAUAAGCCUACAUUUUUGGAGAUAUUUUUAAAGAAGCCAAUCUUUUCUAAAAUAAAAUUAAUACAUCAAAAACUAGAGACAUGAAUGUCAUAUACAUCGUUUACUGAAUCCUACAGUAAUCUGUAAAGUUUGUUUGUGUACAUCAAUGUUAGAUUACCUAAAACAUAAUAAAGUUUCUAUUUUACGUUAUAUUUAAUAUAUAAAAGUCCAAAAUAUAUCCAGACAGACAAAAAUUAUGGCUGCCACUUUAAAAAACAAAUGUUUGUUUGGCCAUGGUGGCUCAUGCCUGUAAGCCCAGCACUUUGGAAGGCCGAGGCAGGCGGAUCACUUGAGGUCAGUAGUUUGAGAUCAGCCUGGCCAACAUGAUAAAACGCUGUGUCUACUAAAAGUAAAAAAAAUUAGCUGGGAGUGGUGGCAGGCACCAGUAAUCCCACCUACUCGGAAGGCUGAGGCAGGAGAAUCGCUUGAACCCCUGAGGCGAGGUUGCAGUGAGCCGAGAUCGCGUCACUGCAGUCCAGCCAGGGCAAUAGGGCAACGACUCCAUCCCAAAUUAAAUUAAAUUUAAAAAACCAAAGGUUUUAGCACGAUAAAGAAUGUUAAAAUGUAAACUAAAGUAUGACAGUUUAGAUUAAAAAUAUGAUGAAUGACUUUUUAUUUGCACUUGUGUUAAGAAUCACCUUUAUUUUUUUGAAACACAGGAAAUGCUGCGGUGGUAACUUGCUGGGUGAUGACUGGGAAGGUAUUUACUAUCCUAGGGAUGGUGGGGUCCAGUGGACCAGAAUCCUCAGCACCUGACCAUGUUCACUGCUGUCCUUUUUCUCCCUAAGAUUCGUUUCUCAGACUCCGUCAUCAACUCUGUUUCCAUCGUGGCGUGAACGGUUUUUCGCUUCUUUAGCAUCUAACUUUGAUUUCUGCUAAUUUUCGUUGAUAGUUUUUCUUGUCCAUCUCUGGUGCUGGCUUUGCUGUUCCACUUUGAGGAGUUCCGGCAGCUUCACCCUCAGCUACUCCAACAGUCCGUCCCUUUGGCUCAAACUCUUGCAGUUUCUUUCGGUUCUUCUGUUCCUGGAGUCUGAGAUUUGUCAGCAGAGCCUGUUUUUCAGGAACCAUGGCUACCACCUCCUCCCUCCUGCGGGGCGGCUCCUGGACUUCUGGUGGGCGCUAGUCCCAGCCACGGCCCAGCCAAGCACAGCGGGAACCGCAGCAGCAGCCGGAGUGCCAGCCCCCGGGGUCGCCCAGGCCAGGGACGCCACGGCUCUAACCCUGGGUCGAGGCCCAGAUCGGUGCACAGAAAGCCGUUGUCAAGUGGAGCAUUUCCCACAGCUGGGCGAGCCCUCCUCAGCCUGCCGGAGCCAGUUCCUGCCUCCAGCUUCAUGCUGCCACCGCCCCUUUCAUUAGAGGGACGCACAGGAAGGCGCAGGGGCACAGAGACAUUGUGGAAGAGUUCUGGGGAAGGAGGGGCGGGGCCCGGCAGCCUCAGGCCCAGGGCAUUGCGGCGCGCCUCAUGCCUGAGCAGACAUCAGCCACUGUCACCGCGGGGAUGACAGAGGAGCCCAGGCUCCCCCAGCCAGCCUUCCUCUGUGCCAGGAGAGGAGAAAACUUUCCUAAAAAGAAGCACAGGGUAGAACCUGCAGAUCUGACCCAAUUAAGUUUUCGUCCUUUUUAUCUUUUUUCUUUUUUUGCCUUUUCCUUUCAAAUUAUGCUCACCUGAAGUCAGAUUUCAUGUUCCAUCUUCAUGUGGCAAUUUACAUGUAAUCAUAAUGGUCACAACUUUAAAAACUUUUUUUGUUUUUUUAAUUUGGAGACGGAAUCUCACACUGUCGCCCAGCCUGGUGUACAGUGUCGCAAUCUCAGCUCACUGCAACCUCCGACUCCCGGGUUCAAGCAAUUCUCGGGCUUCAGCCUCCUGAGUAGCUGGGAUUACAGGCAUGCGCCACCACGCCCGGCUAAUUUUUGUAUUUUUAGUAGAGAUGGGGUUUUGCUAUGUUAUUCAGGCUGGUCUCAAAUUCCUGGCCUCAAGUGAUCCGCCCAGCUUGGCCUCCCAAAGUGCUAGGAUUACAGAAAAAUUUUAAUUUAUUUUACCCAAGAGUGCUAGGUUAACUUUAAACUUUUAAUAGUGCUUUCUGAACGCUACAGUUUAUUACCUUUUAUUUGAUUCUAUUAACUAAGCUAUAGUAACUAAUAAUAAAGUCUUAAUUUGCAUACCUUGACAGUUUACAAAGGGCAUGUAUUUAUUCAUUUAACCAAUAAAUGUGUGUUGAGCAUACACAAUGUGCCAUAAUUUUUGCUAGGCUUAGGAAAUAAAAUGAAGAAAAGAAAACUAUUGGUCUCUACUCUCAUAAAACUUUCAGUCUGGCUUCAUGAAACUCUCACACACUCCUGAGAAGUGGAUACCUUUGAAGUCUCUUAUUAAGCUCCUACCCAAAGUAACCACUAUCUGAAUUUUGUGUUAUUCUUUAAUUUAUGCAAUUUUAUCUAUAAACCAUAUACACUUUAGUGUUGCCUGUUUUUUGCGUUUAUAUAAAUUUUACCAUUUUAUAUCUGUGACUUGCUUUUUUAUUUAUAAUUUUUUUAUUAUUUCAUGUUGCUUAGCAUAGCUGUAGUUGUCCAUUUUCACUGCUGCAUAGUGUAAAUAUACAUCAAUUUAUAAAUCAAUCUUAUUGCCAGUGGAUAUUUGUGAAUUCCAAUUACUCCGUAUUUUUACCAACUUAGAAUUACUAGACAUAAUUUUUGACAAAAUGGUGAAUUAGAAAAGUGUAUCAUUUAUAGUUUUAAUUAGCAUUUUCAUAGUUACUAAUGAAGUUGGAAUUUUUCAUAAGUUUAUUGAUCUAAUAAGAUCUAAGACUUGCCAUCUCUCCUAUAUUUAAUCUUUUAUUUAUUCAUAGUCUGUCAUAUAUAUAUAUAUAUAUAUAUAUUUUUUUUUUUUUUUUGAGACGAAGUUUCUCUCCUGUUGCCUAGGCUGGAGUGCAAUGGUGUGAUCUUGGCUCACUGCAACCUCUGCCUCCUGGGUUCAAGUGAUUCUCCUGCCUCAGCUUCCCAAGUAGCUGGGAUUACAGGCACGCACCACCACACCUGGCUAAUUUUUUUGUAUUUUUAGUAGAGAUGGGGUUUCAACACGUUGGCCAGGCUGGUCUUGAACUCCUGACUUCAGGUGAUCCACUCGCCUUGGCCUCCCAAAGUGCUGGGAUUACAGGUGUAAGCCACAGCACCCAGUCUGUAAUAUAUAUAUUUUUAAAUAUCAAUCUUUUGUAGUAUGUCUUUUAAAAAUAUUUUCUCCCAAUUAUGCUUUGUCUUUGCAUUAUCUGUAGUAAAACAUGUUUUUAUACAUUAUUAAUAAUCGAAAGUUUAAAAUUGAUACUCUAAUUUAUAAAUAUUUUUAUGCAUUAUCUUGUGCCAUGUUUAGAAAAUUUUUACCCCAGUUAUAAUAACAAUAUUUUCCUGUAUUUUCUCCUAAAAGUUUUAAUUUCUUAAUCUAUGUGAACAAGUAUUUUGUGUGAGUUGCUUUUCAGGUAUCCAAUCUACCUAAGAGAACCAAUUGUUUAGGUACUAGUUUAUUGACUAAUUCUUCUUUGCAAGUAUAAUUGUAUAAUUAAUUUCUCAUUUUAAUCUGUUGACUGGAACCAUAGAUGCAAUAGUUAACAAAAAUGUUUACAGCAGCAUCAUUAUCAUGUUUAUGACAUUAAAAAACAAGCUUUUAAUAGUUUAUUGUGUACAUUUGCUGUAGUUUAUUUUAGAUACCUUGUGUAUUUACAAAAUAAAAUAACAUCUUUUAUUUCUAGUUUGCUAAA